GCAAUAUGGACGUAAACAGGCUCCCAAGAAAAUCCGCUAAGCAUAUUCAUAAAGUACCCGUACCGUAAACGGACACACGUAGUUGGGUUGAAAAUACUGAGGCGCUCGAGUGAUUCACGGUUAAGGAACUAGGCAAAUUGACCCUGUAACUUCGGGAUAAAGGGUCCCAGCUGAAAGGCUGGGCGCAGAGAAUAGGUCCAGGCAACUGUUUAACAAAAACACAUGGCUGUGCGAAAUAGAAAUAUGAGGUAUACAGCCUGACACCUGCCCGGUGCUGGAAGGUUAAGAGGAGGACUCAUCGCAAGAGAAGGUCUGAAUUGAAGCCCCAGUAAACGGCGGCCGUAACUAUAACGGUCCUAAGGUAGCGAAAUUCCUUGUCGGGUAAGUUCCGACCUGCACGAAUGGUGUAAUGAUCUGGACACUGUCUCAACCGUGAGCUCGGUGAAAUUGUAGUAUCGGUGAAGAUGCCGAUUACCCGCGAUGGGACGAAAAGACCCCGUGAACCUUUACUAUAGCUUUACAUUGAAUUUGGGCAAUUGAUGUGUAGGAUAGGCCGGAGACAAUGAAGCAGGUACGCCAGUAUUUGUGGAGUCGACGUUGAAAUACGGCCCUUUGAUUGUUUGAGUUCUAACUCGCGGUAUGCGAGGACACUGUAUGGUGGGUAGUUUGACUGGGGUGGUCGCCUCCAAAAGAGUAACGGAGGCUUCUAAAGGUACCCUCAGACCGAUUGGUAACCGGUCGUAGAGUGUAAUGGCAUAAGGGUGCUUGACUGGGAGA
rnacentral:rRNA from 2 species